AUAUCUUUCUGUACGGGAAGGAUGAGAAGCUUCGACUAAGGUUCGAUUCGAGCGAAAGCGAGAAAGCGUUGCCAACGGCAACGACCCGAAGGGCGAAGCGCGCAGCGCUGAGUAAUCCUUCCCCCACCACCA
rnacentral:sRNA from 1 species